CCUACGGGGGGCUGCAGUGGGGAAUAUUGCACAAUGGGGGAAACCCUGAUGCAGCCAUGCCGCGUGUGUGAAGAAGGCCUUCGGGUUGUAAAGCACUUUCAGCGAGGAGGAAAGGUCAGUAGCUAAUAUCUGCUGGCUGUGACGUUACUCGCAGAAGAAGCACCGGCUAACUCCGUGCCAGCAGCCGCGGUAAUACGGAGGGUGCAAGCGUUAAUCGGAAUUACUGGGCGUAAAGCGCACGCAGGCGGUUGGAUAAGUUAGAUGUGAAAGCCCCGGGCUCAACCUGGGAAUUGCAUUUAAAACUGUCCAGCUAGAGUCUUGUAGAGGGGGGUAGAAUUCCAGGUGUAGCGGUGAAAUGCGUAGAGAUCUGGAGGAAUACCGGUGGCGAAGGCGGCCCCCUGGACAAAGACUGACGCUCAGGUGCGAAAGCGUGGGGAGCAAACAGGAUUAGAUACCCCAGUAGUC
rnacentral:rRNA from 1 species